GGUGUCCUAGAGACAUCAGUGAUGCAGUUACCACAUUAAACAUUCCGCCUGGGGAGUACGGUCGCAAGAUUAAAACUCAAAGGAAUAGACGGGGACCCGCACAAGUGGUGGAGCAUGUGGUUUAAUUCGAAGAUACGCGAAGAACCUUACCUAGCCUUGACAUAUAUUAGAAUCUUUCAGAGAUGAGAGAGUGCCUUCGGGAGCUUUUAUACAGGUGCUGCACGGCUGUCGUCAGCUCGUGUCGUGAGAUGUUGGGUUAAGUCCCGCAACGAGCGCAACCCUCGUCACUAGUUACUAACGGUUCGGCCGAGGACUCUAGUGAGACUGCCUUCGCAAGGAGGAGGAAGGUGAGGACGACGUCAAGUCAUCAUGGCCCUUACGGCUAGGGCAACACACGUGCUACAAUGGCCAGGACAGUGAGACGCGAUACCGCGAGGUGGAGCAAAUCUAUAAACCUGGUCUCAGUUCGGAUUGUAGUCUGCAACUCGACUACAUGAAGCUGGAAUCACUAGUAAUCGUAGAUCAGCAAUGCUACGGUGAAUACGUUCCCGGGUCUUGUACUCACCGCCCGUCACACCAUGGGAGUUGAUUUCACCCGAAGCGGGGAAGCUAAACUGGCUACCCUCCACGGUGGAAUUAGCGACUGGGGUGAAGUCGUAACAAGGUA
rnacentral:rRNA from 1 species